AGGUUCGGUAACCGCUGAGCCAUGAUCAGAACUUCUGAAAAGUAAUUUUUAAGGAAAAAGUACUGAUUAUGUCCCAAACAAGAGGUUAAUAACUGGAAAUCUCCCUAGAAUACUUUUAUCUCAGCUUGGAAAGAAAAAUAGGCUCCUCUGUGCUGUAUUAGCUUUUUAACAACACAGUCCUUGAUCAGUUAGGUAUCCUGAGUUGAUGUGCAGGUGAAUGGCAGAAGAAGAGGAAAAAAAGUGUGUCCUCAGCUGCCAGCAUUUAUUUUAAAUCUAUCACUGCAUUUAAAUGGUUUAAAAAAAACAAAUUCCAGAUAUGAGUUGUUGUUAGGAAGGCAUCAGCAAAGAAUUUCCUCUGUGCUUAACCAGAACAACUGAAAGAAAAAAAACACCAUUGAGUACAUAUUAUAUCAGUUUCAGUCAAUUACCUUGAUACUGUCAAACGGAAACAAAUAAACUGGCAAGGUGUAAAGUAAAAACAUUUAAAAAAAUUUUCUGCAAAGUGUUUCACUAAUGAAUACAUUGUAAUUUAUUUAACUUUUUUCUUUCCCUCCAAUCUUUUGCUUUUAUGUACAAAUGUACAAUAAAUUUUCUGAUUAACUUUUUUCUUUCCUCCAGUCUUUUGCUUUUAUACACAAAGAUACAAUAAAUUUCCUUUUACACACAGCAUUUCACACACAAAUGAGUAAAUCUGUGAUAAAUUCCUAGCUGUGACAUUCCAGCUUUCUUGGAUGUGUGUGUGUAUCAGUUAACGCCAAUAAUGUUUGAAACUGCCCGUGUCUCCACACCUUUGGCCACUGUACCAGCUAAGAUCCAAUCAUUCGCCAUACAAAUUACUUAAACUGAGUUUCACAUGAAGAACUAUUCACUAGGUAUAAAGUUGUCAAGAAGACAAUUAAGACAAGAUGAGAAUACUAAGGUACCAGGGAGGUAGCAAUUGCAAAAAGCAGCUAUCAUCUCUAAUGCUGGAGGAACAAGUGAGGAGGUUGAAAUAAUUAAAGCUUACCCGCUUAGAGGAGGGAACCUCAUAGUAUUGAAAUGCUCUUUAGAGGAGGAUCUUACUCACCUGGUGCUCUGAGCUUGGAGGAGGGACCCCAUGUGCCAGGGGACUAGACUUUCAAGGAGGGAGUAUUAACUGGUUAGUGAUGGUUUACCUAGAGCGGAAAGGUCAGACUGACUCUGAGUGCUGGAAAAACCACAAUCUGGAUUCAGCUGCGGCUGUGGUUAAGGAUUGAUGCUACAGGUGAAAAUAGUUGCUGGGGUAACGUGGGCGGGAACAGGAAGCGGAAAGGGUGGAGCAAGUCCCUUCUUUGCUUUCAGCCUUUCUCUUGGCCUCUGGUAGCUCCUGUUGGCUGACUCUGCACCCGCGCGGGAUGGCAAAGGGGAAAGGCGGUGAGCAGUCCCAGAUCCAGCCUCCACGAGUUUAGAAGGUGGAACUGGAGGCGAGAGACAACUCAGACUGGCAGAGCACCUCUGCAAUCAAAUCUCCAGAGUGGGGGAUGUGACUCUCAGGCAUGAAUACAGCUCCCUAGAAGACCUAAGAAACAGGCUGCUUGGUGAACAUCAGUCCCUGGUAACCAGGCAUCCAUCAGGAGCAAGGUCCCUUUUAUUUUCUUCUCCUAGAGUUCUCCUGCUCAAAGCACUGGGUGCUGAUAUAUUCCGACUGCUUGGUCUAAGUCUCCAGAUUCUAGACCUAGAAUUUAUCAAUGAACAUAGGGAACCACACAGUGAAAAGUGGGCUGCCGAACGCCUGUUUGAAGUGAUGGGUUGCAAGAUGGACCGAAACGUCAGGACAGUCCAAAUGUCCUCACUGAAGAUGCACUGACAGUGAAUGUCAAAGGACUCAGGAAUGCCUAAUGGUACCAGGACCAAGAAGGGGAAUCUUCCUGUUUAUGGAGCAUUACCUGAAAGAACAAAUCUUUGCCUCCGCAGAGCAGCUGCAUCUAAGGGGGCGGGGGGGCAACCUGAGAACAAGUGAGAAGAGGAGCAUCCAAAGCAGUUUAUCUUUGCCUUUAUCUGGUUUCCUCUGAGGACACCUCUGAAGCCUUUCUGGGUUCGGGUCAUGGGGAACACUCACACCCUUGCUUCCGAGAAAGCCCCAUCUGAGGUCCUCUCUUGAGGGGUCCUGCUCACAACAGCAGCCCUUUCCUGAAGGACCCUGCUAGCAGUGACAUCAUUUCUACAGACGGAUGAACCCCCACGGCACCUCCUAGAGCACACAGAACCCCCACGGCACCUCCUAGAGCUCUACAGAGUCCUAUGAGAUUGACACCCGUGCUGAAAGCAGUGGACUCCCCUGAAUUCCUCUACUUUGAAGCUGCAGAAAAUUCUGUGUAAUUCACCCAAAGUCAUGUUUGAAACCACAAAAAAUGUAUAUUAAACGACUACCUAUCCAUUGAGGGGGGGUUGUUUUGUUUUUUUGGCUGCCUCCACAGCAUGGGGAUGUUCUGGGGCCAGGGAUGGAACCCACACUGCAACAGCAGCAGCCUGUGCCACAGCAGUGCUAACACCAGGUCCUUAACUCACUGAGCCACCAGGGAACUCCUAUCCUUUGUGUGUUUUCAAUGUAGUUUACACCCUCUUAACAGAGCCAGAAAAAAAUUAAAUCAACAUAUUUAAUUUCAAAGAGCAUGUGUGAGUGACCAUUAGUGAACACAACACAUGCCUGAAGAGAGUGAGGCUUAAGGCCACACCUUGGGCUUCACCACCACAUAGCCCCUGGCUUUGUAAGUCAGGGCCUGCCAAGUCAAGAUGUUGCCAGGGUAACAUGAGGUACACAUGUUCUUCAGGGGGAGCACACGGUUCCACAGGGACACAUCCCAGAUCUCCCCAACAAAGGACUGUUUGGCAUCAAAACCUCCCCCAAAGGAAUCCUGCUCCUGUCCCAGGAUGAUGCUCGCCUUCUCCUUCACAGUAUACCCUCUCUUCAGGCCCUUCCUCCCCACGGGCUUCCCAUUCACCCAGAGUUCAGCAAUCCCAGAGGCAGAUUCCCAGCUGGCACACAGGUGGGCGGGGGUGUCAGGGGACGGGGGCACCUUGAAAGUGACCCCAGUGCCCCCAACAUACAGUAUGUACUCCCCUACUUUGUUGACAAAGAGGAGCAGCUCGUUGUCUGUCGACCUCGUGUUGUAGGAGAAGAGGCUGUAAGGGCGGGUUAGGUCUGUGAAGGCUUUCAGGCACAGCGUGAAGUUCUUCAGUGGGUUGUUCACCCUGGGGACCAGGGACACAUGGGCUGUGUUCGACUCUUCAGGGAAAAUGAACACCUUCCCUCUUAAGU